rnacentral:rRNA from 1 species
UACGUAGGGGGCAAGCGUUGUUCGGAAUUACUGGGCGUAAAGGGCGCGUAGGCGGCCUCUGCAAGUCGACUGUGAAAUCUCCGGGCUUAACCCGGAAAGGUCAGCCGAUACUGCAGGGCUAGAGUGCAGAAGGGGCAACUGGAAUUCUCGGUGUAGCGGUGAAAUGCGUAGAUAUCGAGAGGAACACCUGCGGCGAAGGCGGGUUGCUGGGCUGACACUGACGCUGAUGCGCGAAAGCUAGGGGAGCGAACGGG